AGGUUAGUCAUGAUUAGUAGAUGACCCCUAUUGAUUUUGAGGUCACCAGGUCAAAGGUCAAGGUCACAGGGGCCUUGACUUCAAAAAGCUUGUCCGCCCAAUAACUUAAGAUUCCUUUGACCCACAGUCUUCAUGUUUGGCAUGGAGGUUAGUCAUGAUUAGUAGAUGACCCCUAUUGACUUUGAGGUCACCAGGUCAAAGGUCAAGG